GGCGGCGUGCCUAAUACAUGCAAGUAGAACGCUGAAGGAGGAGCUUGCUUCUCUGGAUGAGUUGCGAACGGGUGAGUAACGCGUAGGUAACCUGCCUGGUAGCGGGGAUAACUAUUGGAAACGAUAGCUAAUACCGCAUAAGAGUAGAUGUUGCAUGACAUUUGCUUAAAAGGUGCAAUUGCAUCACUACCAGAUGGACCUGCGUUGUAUUAGCUAGUUGGUGAGGUAACGGCUCACCAAGGCGACGAUACAUAGCCGACCUGAGAGGGUGAUCGGCCACACUGGGACUGAGACACGGCCCAGACUCCUACGGGAGGCAGCAGUAGGGAAUCUUCGGCAAUGGACGGAAGUCUGACCGAGCAACGCCGCGUGAGUGAAGAAGGUUUUCGGAUCGUAAAGCUCUGUUGUAAGAGAAGAACGAGUGUGAGAGUGGAAAGUUCACACUGUGACGGUAUCUUACCAGAAAGGGACGGCUAACUAC
rnacentral:rRNA from 1 species